GAUGAACGCUGGCGGCGUGCCUAAUACAUGCAAGUCGAGCGAACGGACGAGAAGCUUGCUUCUCUGAUGUUAGCGGCGGACGGGUGAGUAACACGUGGAUAACCUACCUAUAAGACUGGGAUAACUUCGGGAAACCGGAGCUAAUACCGGAUAAUAUUUUGAACCGCAUGGUUCAAAAGUGAAAGACGGUCUUGCUGUCACUUAUAGAUGGAUCCGCGCUGCAUUAGCUAGUUGGUAAGGUAACGGCUUACCAAGGCAACGAUGCAUAGCCGACCGGAGAGAGUGAUCGGCCACACUGGAACUGAGACACGGUCCAGACGCCUACGGGAGGCAGCAGUAGGGAAUCGGCCGCAAUGGGCGAAAGCCUGACGGAGCAACGCCGCGUGAGUGAUGAAGGUCUUCGGAUCGGAAAACUCUGUUAUUAGGGAAGAACAUAUGUGUAAGUAACUGUGCACAUCUUGACGGUACCUAAUCAGAAAGCCACGGCUAACUACGUG
rnacentral:rRNA from 1 species